rnacentral:tRNA from 1 species
UUUCAAGGAGGCAGCGGGGGGGAUCGACUUCCUGGGGGUAG